rnacentral:rRNA from 1 species
UACGUAGGGGGCAAGCGUUGUCCGGAUUUAUUGGGCGUAAAGCGCUCGCAGGCGGCCCGAUGCGUCGUGCGUGAAACACCCCGGCUCAACUGGGGAGGGUCGUGCGAUACGGUCGGGCUUGAGGCCAGUAGGGGGAUGCGGAAUUCCGGGUGUAGUGGUGGAAUGCGUAGAGAUCCGGAGGAACACCAGCGGCGAAGGCGGCAUCCUGGACUGGUACUGACGCUCAUGAGC